rnacentral:rRNA from 1 species
AGUGAACGCUGGCGGCAGGCCUAAUACAUGCAAGUCGAACGGCAGCACAGCAGAGCUUGCUCUGUGGGUGGCGAGUGGCGGACGGGUGAGGAAUACGUGGGAAUCUGCCCAGUCGUGGGGGAUAACGUAGGGAAACUUACGCUAAUACCGCAUGCGCCCUUCGGGGGAAAGCCGGGGACCUUCGGGCCUGGCGCGAUUGGAUGAGCCCACGUCGGAUUAGCUAGUUGGCGGGGUAAAGGCCCACCAAGGCGACGAUCCGUAGCUGGUCUGAGAGGAUGAUCAGCCACACUGGAACUGAGACACGGUCCAGACUCCUACGGGAGGCAGCAGUAGGGAAUAUUGGACAAUGGGCGCAAGCCUGAUCCAGCCAUGCCGCGUGAGUGAAGAAGGCCU